rnacentral:rRNA from 1 species
AGUCAUUGGGUAAAAAAAGUAAAACCUAAAGGCGUAAUUAACUUAACUGAUUAAUAUAAUGGGAUUAAUUAUAUAAAUAUAUUUAUAUAUUCCAUCCCGGGGCGUUCUAUAUAGUUAUGUAUAUAUAUAAUAUUUUUACUUAAUUGUAUUAUAUUAUAUUUAUAUACCUCUAACUGGAGCGUACCUUGAGCAUAUAUGUUGUGACCCGAAAGAUGGUGAACUAUACCUGAUCAGGUUGAAGUCAGGGGAAACCCUGAUGGAAGACCGAAACAGUUCUGACGUGCAAAUCGAUUGUCAGAAUUGGGUAUAGCGGCGAAAGACCAAUCGAACCAUCUAGUAGCUGGUUCCCUCCGAAGUUUCCCUCAGGAUAGCUGGUGCAUAUAAAUAUUAUAGAAAAAUAAUCUUAUCUGGUAAAGCGAAUGAUUAGAGGCCUUAGGGCCGAAACGACCUUAACCUAUUCUCAAACUUUAAAUGGGUAAGAACCUAACCUUUCUUGAUAUGAAGGUAUUAGGUUAUGAUAUAUUGUGCCCAGUGGGCCACUUUUGGUAAGCAGAACUGGCGCUGUGGGAUGAACCAAACGUGAUGUUAAGGCGCCAAAAUUAACAACUCAUACUGAUACCAUGAAAGGCGUUAGUUGCUUAAAACAGUAGGACGGUGGGCAUGGAAGUCGUAAUCCGCUAAGGAGUGUGUAACAACUCACCUGCCGAAGCAACUAGCCCUUAAAAUGGAUGGCGCUCAAGUUGUAUGCCUAUACAUCACCGUUAAAGUAUAUGAUUUAUUAUAUAUAUAAUUAUAUUAAAUUUUGAAACUUUAAUGAGUAGGAGGGUACAAUGAUGUGCGUAGAAGUGUUUAUCGUAAGAUUGCAUGGAGCCGUCAUUGGUACAGAUCUUGGUGGUAGUAGCAAAUAAUCGAAUGAGACCUUGGAGGACUGAAGUGGAGAAGGGUUUCGUGUGAACAGUGGUUGAUCACGAGUUAGUCGGUCCUAAGUUCAAGGCGAAAGCUGAUAAAUGAUAAAGUUAUAUAUAUAUAUAAAAUAUAAAAAAUUUUACACUUAUGAUUAUAUGAACGAAAGGGAAUACGGUUCCAAUUCCGUAACCUGUUGAGUAUACGUUUGUUAUUAAAAAUGGGCUAUUUAAUGCGCUCAUCCUGGCAACAGAAACAACCAUAAAGAAGCCGUCGAGAAAUAUCGAAAGAGUUUUCUUUUCUGUUUUAUAGUCGUACUACCAUGGAAGUCUUUAGAAGAGAGAUAUGGUAGAUGGACUAGAAGAGCAUGGCAUUUACUGC